GAUGAAGAACGUAGCGAAAUGCGAAAAGUAAUGUGAAUUGCAGAAUUCAGUGAAUCAUCGAAUCUUUGAACGCACAUUGCGCCCGCCAGUAUUCUGGCGGGCAUGCCUGUCUGAGCGUCAUUUCAACCCUCAUGCCCCUAGGGCGUGGUGUUGGGGAUCGGCCAGCGCCCGCGAGGGACGGCCGGCCCCUAAAUCUAGUGGCAGACCCGUCGUGGCCUCCCCUGCGAAGUAGUGAUAUUCCGCAUAGGAGAGCGACGAGCCCCUGCCGUUAAACCCCCAACUUUCUAAGGUUGACCUCAGAUCAGGUAGGAAUACCCGCUGAACUUAAGCAUAUCAAUAAGCGGAGGA
rnacentral:misc_RNA from 1 species